UUUUUAUACAACUCCACUGUUGUAUUCUAGUGCUUGUUUGGUCAUUUACUAAUUCAGAAGGCCGCAACCUGAAUCAAUUCAAUUUUAAACAAAGUAAAGUUUUUUUUUCUGCAAGGCCGUGUCUGCUGUGCCCGGGGCACAGCAAACGAAAGGUGCCCGAAAUGUCUACGUUCACCCAUGACGUCACGUCCGCUAUAACCCAUGAUGUCACAUCCGCUCAUUUCCAUGGCGGCCGUCUUACGGAGCCGGCUGCGCUGCGAAACGGUCCGUAUUCCGUGCCCACUUAGAGCACUGAACAUCCCACGUCUUGGUUUGACUUCCUGGUACAGGAUACUUGCACUUAGCAUGGAGUGAUGAAGCAAAGCAGUGUACUGUUAUUAAAUGUGCAGAUUUUAGCAUUAUAAGAGCAGUUCAUUAAAAAAACAUGUGUGCUGAAAAUAAAGUGUUCUUACCCACA